rnacentral:ncRNA from 1 species
AUCUUCAGGGCAGGGUGAAAUUCCCGACCGGUGGUAUACCCCACGAACCGUUUGGUUGAACUAGUUUGAUUCUAGUGGCGACAGUAAAGUCUGGAUGAAAGAAGAG